AUUGAACGCUGGCGGCAGGCUUAACACAUGCAAGUCGAGCGGAGAUGAGGUGCUUGCACCUUAUCUUAGCGGCGGACGGGUGAGUAAUGCUUAGGAAUCUGCCUAUUAGUGGGGGACAACAUUCCGAAAGGAAUGCUAAUACCGCAUACGUCCUACGGGAGAAAGCAGGGGAUCUUCGGACCUUGCGCUAAUAGAUGAGCCUAAGUCGGAUUAGCUAGUUGGUGGGGUAAAGGCCUACCAAGGCGACGAUCUGUAGCGGGUCUGAGAGGAUGAUCCGCCACACUGGGACUGAGACACGGCCCAGACUCCUACGGGAGGCAGCAGUGGGGAAUAUUGGACAAUGGGGAACCCUGAUCCAGCCAUGCCGCGUGUGUGAAGAAGGCCUUAUGGUUGUAAAGCACUUUAAGCGAGGAGGAGGCUACUGAGACUAAUACUCUUGGAUAGUGGACGUUACUCGCAGAAUAAGCACCGGCUAACUCUGUGCCAGCAGCCGCCGUAAGAC
rnacentral:rRNA from 1 species